UCUCCCCCCAAUCCCCUCCUGACCCCCGAUUUCUCUCUGUCUCCCCCUGCAGGCCCAACUCAGACCUGCAGCCCCAUCCAACUCUACGCCCUCCCCCCGAGCCCCGGCGAUCUCUACAUCGGCCUGGAUGCCAAACUGAAAUGUUUGGUGGUCAACCUGCCCAGCGAUUCCAGCCUCAGCCUCACCUGGACCAGGGAGAAAGGCGGCAACCUCCGUCCCGAUCCCAUGAUCCUCCAGGAGCACUUCAACGGCACCUACAGCGCCAGCAGCGCCGUUCCCAUCAGCACCCAGGAUUGGUUGGCCGGGGAAAGGUUCACCUGCACCGUGCAGCACGAGGAGCUGCCGCUGCCGCUCAGCAGGAGCGUCUACAGGCACACAGGACCCAGCAGCCCACCUCACAUCUACCCCUUCCCCCCUCACCCGGAAGAGCUCUCCCAAUCCCGCGUCACCUUGGGUUGCCUGGCCCGCGGUUUCCGCCCGCGUGACAUCGAGAUCCGGUGGCUCCGCAAUCACCACAACGUCCCGAGCAAGGAAUACGUCACCACUUCCGUCCUCCCGGAAGAAAGAUCCGGUAAUGGCGGCAACGGAAGUGAAGGUGAAACAUUCUUCGUGUACAGUAAGAUGAGCGUGGAGGCCAACGGUUGGCGCGGCGGAACGGUUUACGCCUGCAUGGUGGUGCACGAAGCGCUGCCCAUGCGCUUCAGCCAGCGCACGCUGCAGAAACUGCCUGGUAAAUAAAGGAUGGGGGUGCGGAACCCUCGUGCAGAGCACAA